UCGAGAAUUUUUCACAAUGGGGGCAACCCUGAUGGAGCGACGCCGCGUGGAGGAUGAAGGCCUUCGGGUUGUAAACUCCUGUCAUGCGGGAACAAGCAAGUGAUAGUACCGCAAGAGGAAGAGACGGCUAACUCUGUGCCAGCAGCCGCGGUAAUACAGAGGUCUCAAGCGUUGUUCGGAUUCAUUGGGCGUAAAGGGUGCGUAGGUGGUGACGCAAGUCUGGUGUGAAAUCUCGGAGCUCAACUCCGAAAUUGCACCGGAUACUGCGUGACUCGAGGACUGUAGAGGAGAUCGGAAUUCACGGUGUAGCAGUGAAAUGCGUAGAUAUCGUGAGGAAGACCAGUUGCGAAGGCGGAUCUCUGGGCAGUUCCUGACACUGAGGCACGAAGGCCAGGGGAGC
rnacentral:rRNA from 1 species